UACGGAGGGUGCGAGCGUUGUCCGGAAUCAUUGGGCGUAAAGGGCGCGUAGGUGGCCCGGUCAGUUCGUGGUGAAAGCGCGGGGCUCAACCCUGCGUCGGCCAUGAAUACUGCCGCGGCUGGAGCACUGUAGAGGCAGGCGGAAUUCCGGGUGUAGCGGUGGAAUGCGUAGAGAUCCGGAAGAACACCGGUGGCGAAGGCGGCCUGCUGGGCAGUUGCUGGACACUGAGGCGCGACAGCGUGGAGAGCAAACAGG
rnacentral:rRNA from 1 species